GACGAACGCUGGCGGGGGGAGGAACACAUGUAAGUCGAGCGGAAAGGCGCUUCGGGGUAGUAGAGUGGAGAAAGGGUGAGUAAAAAGUGAGUAAACUGUAAAAGAAUUUGGGAUAACAAUCGGAAAUGGGGGCUAAUACCGGAUACGACACAGCUUCGCAUGGGGUCUGUGUGGAAAGUUUUUCGGUUUGGGAUGGGCUCGCGGCCUAUCAGCUUGUUGGUGGGGUGAUGGCCUACCAAGGCGACGACGGGUAGCCGGCCUGAGAGGGCGACCGGCCACACUGGGACUGAGACACGGCCCAGACUCCUACGGGAGGCAGCAGUGGGGAAUAUUGCACAAUGGGCGGAAGCCUGAUGCAGCGACGCCGCGUGAGGGAUGACGGCCUUCGUUUUGUAAACCUCUUUCAGCAGGGACGAAGCGCAAGUGACGGUACCUGCAGAAGAAGCGCCGGCCCCCUACGUU
rnacentral:rRNA from 1 species